CGGCGAGUGAAGCGGCAGCAGCCCAGAUUUGGAAUCUGACCUCCUUGCGGGGUCCGAGUUGUUUCUGCAGAGGAAGCGUCUGGCGCGGCGCCGGCCUAGUUCCCUGGAACGGGACGCCGUGGGGGUGACAGCCCCUCUCGGUCGGCCGCCAAGCCUGUGUGUCGCUCCUUCGAGGAGUCCCGUAUGUUGGGAAUGCUGCGCAAAGUGGGAGGUAUGCUCCUCCUAAGGCUAAAUACCGGCCAAAAACCGAUUGCGCACAAGUAGAAUGAUCCAAAGAUGAAAAGUACCUUGAAAAUGGGGUCCAACCGUACGUGAAAUUGGCUAAGGGGAAGCGCUCGGGGACCGACUCCCCCCCGGCGGAUCAACCGGCUCCCUCGCCGGUGCACUCCGCCCGGGUCGGGCUAGCGUCCGUCGGAGCCGGUGCUAUAAGGCGGCGUGAACGGUGCUCCCUCCCGGGAGUGUUAUAGCACGCUGGGUAAUGCGCUGGCCCCGUCCGAUGACCACGCUUUUGCAAGGACGCUGGCGUAAUGGCCACUAUCGGCCCGUCUUGAAGCACGGACCAAGGAGUCGCCCAGAGGCGCGAGUGUGCGGGUGACUUACCCCUGCGCGUAGUGAAAGCGAACGCUGGUGGGAGCCCUUGCGGGCGCACCACCGACCGAUCCUGAUGUCAUCUGAUGGAUUUGAUUAGGAUCGUCUCUGGUCUGACGCGACACAGGGUGAGCUAUGCUAGGCUAGAGUGAAGCCAGACGAGACGAUGGUGGAGGGCACGUUCGCGUUCUGACUUGCAUAUCGAUCCAUAAA
rnacentral:rRNA from 1 species